UACUUGAGCCGGGUCUGUCGACCUCACGGACAAUGUGGGUCAUGCCAGCCUUGUAUCCGAGGAAAGCGGUCAGGUGAACAGGCUUGCUGGGAUCAUCUUUAGGGAAACUCUUCACCUUGCCACGAUGGCGUUUGCACCUCUUGCGGGGCAGGAAGCCCAGAGAGCCAUGGCGUGGGGCCGAAAACUUACGGUGAGACUACACAAAA